rnacentral:rRNA from 1 species
CUACGGGCGGCUGCAGUGAGGAAUAUUGCACAAUGGGGGGAACCCUGAUGCAGCAACGCCGCGUGGAGGAUGACGCAUUUCGGUGUGUAAACUCCUUUUAUAUGUCAAGAAAAUGACGGUAGCAUAUGAAUAAGCACCGGCUAACUCCGUGCCAGCAGCCGCGGUAAUACGGAGGGUGCAAGCGUUACUCGGAAUCACUGGGCGUAAAGGACGCGUAGGCUGUUUAGCAAGUCAGAUGUGAAAUCCAAUGGCUCAACCAUUGAACUGCAUUUGAAACUGCUAGACUAGAGUAUGGGAGGGGCAGAUGGAAUUAGUGGUGUAGGGGUAAAAUCCGUAGAUAUCACUAGGAAUACCUAAAGCGAAGGCGAUCUGCUGGAACAUUACUGACGCUAAGGCGUGAAAGCGUGGGGAGCAAACAGGAUUAGAUACCCCAGUAGUC